CUCCCAGUCACUCUGCACCCUAACUGCAGCUGGGAUUGUGGCCUGGCCUUCUCUCCCUGGCCCUGGGGAACUCACACGGCGUGGAGGAGCGGGAUUCCUAGCAGGAUCCUCUGCAUGGAGCUCACUCCGCCGCUCACCUUCCUCCAGGCUGCUCCUCAGGCCCAAGCACCUUCCGUCUCUGGUGAGCUCCUCCUUGUCCUUCAAGGCCUAAAUCAAUAGGAAAGGUCUGGAGGGGCACACACCAGAAAUCUGAGUGAGGCAGGAUUGUGGGUGGAAGCAUGAGGUUUUUCUUUCUUUUUUUCUUUUUUUUUUUUUUUUUUGAGACGGAGUCUUGCUCUGUCGCUCAGGCUGGAGUACAGCGGUGCGAUCUCGGCUCACUGCAACCUCUGCCUCCCAGGUUCAAGCGAUUCUCCUGCCUCAGCCUCCUGAGUAGCUGGGAUUACAGGCAUGUGCCACCACACCCAGCUAAUUUUUGUAAUUUUAGUAGAGAGGUGGUUUUGCCCUGAUGCCCAGGCUGGUCUCGAACUCCUGACUUUAAGUGAUCCGCCUCCCUCGGCCUCCCAAAGUGCUGGGAUUACAGGCAUAAGCCACUGUGCCCAGACUCUUUUCCUUCUUUUUGCCUAUCUGCUUUUCUUUUUCUAUACUGGAGAGGUGUAGCUUUGGUGAUAAGAAGACCGUAGUGAUGAUCAUGAUGCUAGCGACGAGCCUAACGAUCUGUCCCGGGUCAGACCCCAUCUCAGUCAUGAAACUCCCCUCCCUGCCUUUCCCACCCCUCCCCUCAGCAGGCUGGCUUCUUGGGGCUCCUGCAUCGGGUCCUUAUUUUUGUUGUUUUGUUGUUGUUGUUUUAUAGAUGGGGUUUCACUUUGUCACCCAAACUGGAGUGCAGUGAAGCAAUCAUAGCUCACUGCAGCCUGGAACUCCUGGGCUCAAGCGAUCCUCCUGCCUCAGCCUCCCAAGUAGCUGGAACUGCAGACACACGCCGCUACGCCCAGCUAAUUUUUCCUUUUCUUUCUUUCUUUUUUUUUUCUUUGAGGCGGAGUUUUGCCCUCGUUGCCCAGGCUGGAGUGCAAUGGCGCAAUCUUGGCUCACUGCAACCUCUGCCUCCUGGUUCAAGCUAUUCUCCUGCCCUCAGCCUCCCGAGUAGCUGGGAUUACAGGAAUGCGCCACCACACCCGGCUGAUUUUGUAUUUUUAGUAGAGGUGGGUUUUCUCCACGUUGGUCAGGCUGGUCUCAAACUCCCAACCUCAGGUGAUACCCCGCCUCGGCCUCCCAAAGGGCUGGGAUUACAGGCGUGAGCCACCGCACCAGGCCUAAAUUUUCUUUUUUACAAGUCCUUGUUUUUUAUGCACAGCAUCUGCACAAGCCAUUCUCCCACCCUGGGGCUCUCCCUCCGGCCCCAGCCCCCUGCCCCAUUGCCAACCAAACGCCGCCAGCUCACACUGUGGUGUCUUCAGAGUCCCUGCGGCUUCAUCACAGGUUGUGACUCCAUGUGCAUUUCUGUCAUAACUUGAAUUACACCCCUCACCCCUGUCCCCCACCCCUGGCUCCAUGAGAGCAGUGACAGGGCCUUUCUUUUUUCUUUUUUCUUUUUUUUUUUGAGAUGGAGUCUUGCUCUGUCGCCCAGGCUGGAAUGCAGUGGUGCAACCUCGUCUCACUGCAACCUCUGCCUCCCAGGUUCAGGCAAUUCUCCUGCCUCAGCCUCUCGAGUAGCUGGGACUAUAGGGGCCCGCCACCACACCCGGCUAAUUUUUUGUAUUUUUAGUAGAGAUGGGGUUUCACCAUGUUAGCCAGGAUGGUCUCGAUCUCCUGACCUCAUGAUCCACCCGCCUCAGCCUCCCAAAGUGCUGGGAUUACAGGCGUGAGCCACCGCGCCCGGCCAACAGGGCCUUUUCUUUUAAAUCAACUUCAUUAUGACAUAAUUUCAUAGAGUAAAAGGCAUCCCUUUUAAGUGUACAAUGUAAUGAGUUUUGACAAGUGUAUACACCCUUAUAACCACUUUCACAAUCAAAAUAGAGACAUUUCCACCCUGCCCCUUGGCAGUCAGCCCCAUCCCCACCCUGGCAGGCAACCGGGGGUCUGUUUCCUGUCACUGUGAACGUGCUCAGCCUGAUCUAGAAUUUCAUGUAACGCGGUCCUGCAGGAAGUGCGCUUCUGUCUGGCUUGCCUC
rnacentral:lncRNA from 1 species